AUCCGCACCAUCGCUGAGCUGGAAGACAUGGCUAUAGCUCUGUAAAAACCAGGGGGGCCCCUGACACUUUGGGCCCCUGAGCCUGUGCCCAAGAGGCCUGUUCAGAAAUCCAUCCAUGCCUGUGAUGAGGCGGCGUCACAGGAACAGACUGCUAUACAAUCCGUGGAUGGCACUUUCCAAGGAGAUACACACGCACCAGAUGGAUGCCUUCCUGGCCGGUCCGAGACCAGCAGACCGCAGCAUCAUCACUGUCAAGUCAGCGAGGAAAUGCAGAACUUUACCAUCUUGGAUUUUUGGAGCCAGAGGUGACCAUAUUUGGAUGAGAAGGUGGAGCUGUGGAGGUGCGAGGGAUGGAUCUGACUCAUAGACUGUAUCGACACCCUGCAGACAGCCUGUCAUUCAAAGCAGCUCACCCCUACAUAUGCACAACUUUUAAACUCAAUAAAAUGUCAGCAGGUGAGUUGUAUAAAAAUUCACCUGCUGUACAGUUGUCAUGAACGGGGAAAUUACUUAUAGAGACCAAAACUGUUUUUCAUUCCACAUAAACAUGUUUAUUUCUAUUGUACAGUUGGACAUUUAAGCAUGGGUGUCUGGGGAUUGACUUGCUUUUGGAGCCAACCUCAAGAGGCCAUCUGAUGAAAUGCAGUUUUUGGCACUUCAGUGUUGACUUCAUGUGUCAGCCUUUGAGGCUGCUGCUUGGCUUUAAUUUAAGAGGUCGGGUACAUUUUAUAAAAUAGAAUUUAAAAAAAAAAAAAAGGACAGGAGGUGGCAGAUUUUUGCACAAAAACAAUACAUUUAUUCAAGUGUUCUCCAGCACAAGUACAUACGGAGCCUUUAUCUUCUCUCUGGACACUAAACUUAAGUAUGGGGGGAGGGAGGGGGGGAGUCAAAGUGGAGAAUGACUGCUACAUUUGCUGUACGAACUGGUCUUGAGGAAAAAGCGUAUAGGCCAUUAACAGUUAUGACAGAAAGAAAGUCACACAGAGUGUCAACAGUAUCACCGAAUAUAGAAUUAUUGACCUGCCUUGAACAGUAAAACUCAAAUGUUGUUUCUGAUGAUUCAAAAAAAAAAAGAAAAGAAAAAAACAUCGAUUCAAAACAACAUUUGGAAAACAGACAUGGAGAAUAUUACGGCAUGGAAUGUAGGAUUAAGAAGCAAUGCGUAUUAAGCAUACAUUAUGCUACAGUAAAAGUUAUUACCGUUUUUUUUUUCUCACACAAUUUUCCCACAGAUAAUCACCAACUACAGCAAUCUCUAGUCUAAAACAAUAUAGGAAACCUUUCAUUAUUUGUUAUCCUUAUUUUUUCAAGUACAAAGUUAAAAUGCCUUUGUUAAUAUAUUUAUAUGAGUGAAAUAAUAGUUCUUUUCUGUUACUACAAGGAACUUAAAAACAGUCAUUGUCAAGACAUGUUUAUUUCUCUUCCAAUCAAAUAUAUUUUUCUUGUUUAGAUAAAAUGUUUAGCACCAUCGGAGACACCUACAAUCCCUCUUUUUAAAGUUUUACAAAAGGAAACAGAAGCCAAAACAAAAACCAAACAAAAAAACACCACCAUGUAGGGCUGUGCAGUGAAGUUGAGACCGUUCAUCUUAAAGCUGUCCAUAGGCCACUAUUAAGAUCACAUGACAUAAAUCUGGACUCACUUGACACAAACAAAUCAGUACGAUAAAGUAGU